rnacentral:rRNA from 1 species
UCAGUUGCGAUCUACGUCGGCGUUCCGCGCCGCCGGAUAACCGUAGUAAUUCUAGGGCUAAUACGUGCGAAGCGCCCGAAGCCGCGAGGCGACGGCGUUCUCGCCGGAUGUAGGAACCGACCCGGGGACCGCCGGGGCAACCCGGCGCCCCCGAGACGGGGCGAACCACGGUGAAAUGACGGAUCGUCGGCCCCGCGCCGGCGACUCGCCGAAUGAGUUUCUGACCUAUCAACUCGAGACGGCGGGGUAGAGGCCCGCCGCGGUAACGACGGGUAACGGGGAAUCAGGGUUCGAUUCCGGAGAGGGAGCCCGAGAAACGGCUACCACUUCCAAGGAAGGCAGCAGGCGCGCAACUUACCCUAAUCUCGAUUCGAGGAGGUAGUGACAAGAAAUACCGAUGCGGGACCCUACGGGUGCCGCGUUCGGAAUGAGUACGAUUCGAACCACCUAACGAGGAACGAUCGGAGGGCAAGUCUGGUGCCAGCAGCCGCG